rnacentral:rRNA from 1 species
GAUGAACGCUGGCGGCGUGCCUAAUACAUGCAAGUCGAGCGAACGGACGAGAAGCUUGCUUCUCUGAUGUUAGCGGCGGACGGGUGAGUAACACGUGGAUAACCUACCUAUAAGACUGGGAUAACUUCGGGAAACCGGAGCUAAUACCGGAUAAUAUUUUGAACCGCAUGGUUCAAAAGUGAAAGACGGUCUUGCUGUCACUUAUAGAUGGAUCCGCGCUUCAUUAGCUAGUUGGUAAGGUAACGGCUUACCAAGGCAACGAUGCAUAGCCGACCUGAGAGGGUGGCACGCACCACGAGAACGACACCACGCAGCAGACUACGAGAGAGGGCAGAAGUGGGAAUUUUCCAAAAAGGGGAGAAAGCAGGACGGCGAAACGCCGGGGGGGUAAAGAAGGUCUGAGGUUGUAAAACUUUUUUUAUGAGGGAAAAAAAGUGGUGUAAGAACCUUGCAAACUCUUGGCGUUACAAAAUAAAAAGCCACGGACUAACUCGGUC